GACAUUAUGAAUAUUUGAAAAUGCCCUACGGGUUGGCCAAUGCACCAAUUGUUUAUCAGAGAAUCAUUUCCAAAACUUUAAAAACAUUAAUUAGAUGCUGGCAAAGCCCUUACGUAUAUAGACGACGUUUUAUUACUGUCAAAUUCAGUAGAGGAAGGCCUGGACACGUUGAAAGAAGUUUUACAUACAUUAAAAACAGCGGGAUUUUCUAUUAAUUUAAAAAAAUGUACCUUUUUAGACUCAGAAAUUGAAUACUUGGGGCGAUUGAUCGGUCAUGGUCAGGUUAGGCCGAGUCUGGGGAAGGUCGAUGCACUUAUUAGAUCUCCAAAACCCACAAAUGUCAAGGAAGUUCGCCAGUUUCUAGGCUUAGCGGGAUAUUUCCGUCGCUACAUAUCGGGUUAUGCUUCUAAGACGGCAUGUAUAGCAAAGUUGUUAAGAAAAGGGUUACCAUUUUUGUGGGGUGCUGAGCAGGAUACUGCUCGCGAUUAUAUAAUUCACUGUUUGACAAAUGAACCGGUUUUAGCGAUAUUCAAUCCCCGGCUGCCUACGGAACUUCACACAGAUGCAAGUGCUAUUGGUCUUGGUGCUAUUUUGUUACAGGAACAUGCCGGUAGGAGAAAGAGGGUUGUCGGUUAUUUUAGUAAGUCCACCCAGGGCGCAGAGUCACGGUACCACAGCUAUGAGCUGGAGACCUUAGCUGUCGUACGUGCGCUCCAGCACUUCCGCCACUAUUUGAUUGGUAUAGCCUUUAAAAUAGUGACUGAUUGCAAUUCAUUAAAAUUGACGGAGCGUAAAAAAGAUCUGUUGCCUCGAGUUGCGCGCUGGUGGGUAUAUUUACAAGAUUUUAAUUUUACUUUAGAUCGAAAAGGGGCUUUAAUGCAACAUGCAGAUUUUCUGAGCCGUAAUCCUCCUCUUUCCACUGCCAAUGUGUCUCAUAUUCGGAAUCCAAGCAGCUGGGCGAAGAACGCUCAAACCGCUGAUGUGAAGACACGAGAGUUAAUUUCUAGAUUAAGAGACGGGCAGCUUGACGAUACUAGGUAUGCGAUAAAAAAUGAUUUGUUGUACUACAAAUUUACACCAACUGGGGAAAACCCGCGACUCUUGUGUUACAUCCCUAAGGGUCACAGACUCAGCUUGUUGAGGGUGUUCCACGAUGAACAUGAUCAUAUUGGGACUGACAGAACAACUGACUUAAUAUUAAGACACUUUUGGUUUCCUAGUUUGCGACAGUUUGUAAAAAAGUACAUAAGUCAUUGUCUAGUAUGUUUAGCAUAUAAAAAAGUUCCCAGGGCUCCGUCACAACCGAUUCAAUCCUGGACAAAGCCAGAUAUCCCUUUUUCUAUUAUACAUACCGAUGUCCUAGGGCCGCUCCAAGAGUCAAACGGUUUCAAAUAAGUUUUGAUUAUAGUGGAUGCAUUUUCCAAGUAUUGUUUGCUCUACUCUCUGUACAGACAAAACACUGACGAGCUAAAACGAAUUUUUUCAAAUGCGGUGUCAUUAUUUGGUACGCCGUCUACAAUAGUAUGUGAUCGCGCUAGAAUGUUCGAAAGCGCUACAUCCAAAAUUGGGUCAGUGAUUUGGGAUGCUCGAUACAUUUUAUCACGCCUGGUAUGCACCGUGAAAAUGGGCAAGCGGAGCGGUACUGCAGGACAGUUCUCAACAUGCUACGUGUUGAAGUAGGCAACAAAGGUUCCCAAUGGUCCGAUGUGCUGUGGAGGAUGCAGCUCACUUUGAAUAUCUCCAAGCAAAGUACCACGCAGACGUCACCACUACAGUUACUGGUCGGUAUUGACGCAGUUACUCCAGUCAUCAGAUCGUUAGUGCGAGAUGUGGCACUUACUAACUCUAAUCCCAAUCGGGAGGCUCUUUUAACUCUUCGCAGACAACGAGCUUCGGAACUCCUUGCAACCAAUCAACAGCGCUAGGAUACCUACGUUUACGAGGGUCGACGGCAGCCACUCACUUUUGCUGUCGGAGACUUUGUGUUUGUGAGCAAGACUGCACAAAUCACCGGCUGCGCAUGGACUGGACUCCGGCAUGCGCGGGCCUUACAAGGUUAUUCGCGCGUUACCGUGCCACCGUUACGAGUUAGAGCUACUAGCUGGUUCCUAUGGGAAAAAGACCCAAGCUGCAGCUGAAAAUAUGAUGUUGUGGCAAGGCGAGUGGACGCCGGAUGCGUGCUCAGUUUUUUUUGAGACUGAGACUGCAUUAGACAAUAAUGAGCAGUUUGCAAGGGAUGAAACAAAUGAAGAGAGAAAUGGCUCUGAUGCUAGUGGUGCAAGUAAUGCUGCGGUCGAGGACGCCGCACUGUCAGGAACGGCCGUCUUAUAAAACAAUCUCCACAGAGCAAGUCGGACCGAGUGAGGGGUAACAGAGAGGAGUGGAACUGGGAACACCGGAAAUGCGGCGAUUGGCGCUCGGACGUGACAGACGCGGGAGUGUUUUGUUUUUUUAAUUGCGUUGUGUAAAAUAUGUUCUUCUGGUUGCGUAUAAUUUUCAUUGUGGUAUUUUAGUUAAUUAAAAAUUGUUUUGUAAGGAAUAAAACUUCCUAGGUUGAGUGUUUUGUUACUUUUA